GAUGAACGCUGGCGGCGUGCCUAAUACAUGCAAGUCGAGCGAACAGACGAGGAGCUUGCUCCUCUGACGUUAGCGGCGGACGGGUGAGUAACACGUGGAUAACCUCCCUAUAAGACUGGGAUAACUUCGGGAAACCGGAGCUAAUACCGGUUAAUCUAUUGAACCGCAUGGUUCAAUAGUGAAAGACGGUUUUGCUGUCACUUAUAGAUGGAUCCGCGCCGCAUUAGCUAGUUGGUAAGGUAACGGCUUACCAAGGCAACGAUGCGUAGCCGACCUGAGAGGGUGAUCGGCCACACUGGAACGGAGACACGGUCCAGACUCCUACGGGAGGCAGCAGUAGGGAAUCUUCCGCAAUGGGCGAAAGCCUGACGGAGCAACGCCGCGUGAGUGAUGAAGGGCUUCGGAUCGUAAAACUCUGUUAUUAGGGAAGAACAAAUGUGUAAGUAACUAUGCACGUCUUGACGGUACCUAAGCAGAAAGCCACGGCUAACUACGUG
rnacentral:rRNA from 1 species